GGGCAUGCAGCAAUCCAGAUAUCUAUAUUGUCAUCUGUACAAUGGGAAGCACAUACUGUUGCUGUCUUUUCCUCCUCCCUCCUUCCUCGUUCCUCCCUGGCUGGGAUUCUUGUCCAGAGACAAGAAACAAAGAGGGUUUGGUUAGACUUCAUGAGCCAGGUUCAGAAGCAUGCACUGAGCUCUUUUUCCUCCAGCCUGUUAUCCACCUGGGUUGGCAUUACCCUUGUAGCUCUCGGGCAAUUUCCUUGUAUCUCAGAGUGAACAGACUACAAGCUCUGUGAGGGGGCCUGGGACAUAGAAGAUGCCCAACAAAUGUUGGUUGGGUGAAUGGAUUGACUCUUGAAUGUCUGUUUUGGUGACAGGGCAUCACCCUAGCUUGUCGUGUCCAUUCUGGGAGCUGUCAAGGAUUCCCUCCCCUUUGCCAAGGCUCAGAGUUCACGCUGGAGCAAUGCCGGACACUAGUCAUAUAACCAUUGGCAACCCAAGCAGUGCAGAAACUCCAUACAGUUUUUCAAAAAAUCCCUGAAAAUAAGAUUCUUCUAAUGCCUAGGAAGAACUUCAAUGUCCAUUUUAUUUCUACACUAUGGUGGCCAUUCCAAGUGGAUGACUAAGCCAGGGUAUCAAAGAAACAAACAAACAGCCCCAGUUGGGAAAGCUGCACAAAUACAUCUCGAACCCACUCACCUGAGGGGUCUCCCAGCUCCCUUUUGCCCCAAGGAGAUGAGGGACAGAUAUAGUUGUGCUGUAUGUCCUCCUUUUCUUACUAUCUCAGGAACCCUGUGACGGUUACCAUGAACUUCAUCUCGCAUCCUCUCCUUCCCAUGUCUUAUCCCUGGGGAAAUGUUGGAUGAGUGUGAGCCAGAGACACAAAGGCAGCUGUGAGAUCGGCCUUUAGGCACAUAGCAAAGAAUGAAGACUGGUUCUUGCAUGCUGUCUUUCUGGCCCUUCAGUCUCUUUCCCCCUGGUCUCUCAGGAUUACUCAGUUCUCUCCACUGAUUUGGUGAAACCUGCUAUUGUGUGAUCACCAAGCCCUGAGCUAACUCAUAGCUCACGGGAACCCUCAGUGGUUGGAGAACUCCUAGCCAACAGCAGUGAGGUCCCUGGGGCUUCAGGAGGCAGGGCCAUUCUGUCUUCCCACAAGCCAAGUUCUCAACAUCUGAGAUGAGGAGCCCAAGGCCAAGAGUGGAAAAGAGAUCUUGAGCAAAGAGAGAUAAUGAAAUCUUAGGAAAACCCUCUGGGCCUUUCAUAGACUCAAACACUCCUUAGAGGUCUUCCUUCCAUGUAGAAAUCUUUUCUACAGUGCCUCUUCAAGGCUCUCUUUGAAUGCUUCCAGUGUCAGAGAGCUCGUUAUUCAGCAAUGGGAUCUAUCCAGCUGUUGAACUACCCCAAGUAUUGGAUUUACUGUAGGUGGAAAUCUGUGUUCCCGUGUUUUUCUUAUUCCUGAUUUUGAAUCUGGAACUACACUGUGAACCCCACUGUGGCAGACACAAUAUUAUUAUUACCUAUUUAUUUUAUGUGACAUCUCAGUAGUGUUGACUAGAGUUGGCCAUGCUUUCCUUUUUUAAAUCUUCUCUUGGAUUCUGGGCCACUUCCUCUUUCCACUUUGGAUAUUCCUCCAUUAUCUCCUUUGCAAGAUUAUUCUGCUUUCCCCAACCUCCAAGUACUAAAUGCUUAACUCUUAAAAAAAUAUUACUGAGGCAUAUUUUGUGUAUCACAUAAUUCACCAUUUUCAAGUGUCCAACUAAGUUUUGGUAAAUUUACUAAGUUGUAUAACUAUCACCAUAAAUUAAUAUUAGAACAUUUUAUCACCCUAGUGAGAUCCCUCGGGCGCAUUUACUGUUAACCCCUCUGCCAUCCCUAAAAUAUGCUUUCUGUUUCUCCUUUUUUUUUUUUUAAGAGAUGGGGUCUUGCUAUGUUGCACAGGCUAGACUUGAACUCCUGGGCUCAAGGGCUCCUCCUCCUCAGCCUCCUGAGUUCUGGUCAGUGAAAUGUGGACAAAAUGAUGUUUGCCUCUUCCAGGUAUUGCCCUUUAAAAACCUGUGCAGUCUUCCACAUUCUUUUUCUUUCCCCAUCCAUUGGCUGAGUGUGAAGGAGGAAGAAUCUCUGUAACAUAUUGGAGCUUCAUAAUGGAAGGAUCCCAGUUCCCUGAAUGACCACAUGGAUCAGAGCCCUUCCAACCCCCAGCUUGACAGGAGCAAAAAUAAACAUACUGUUUUGAAGUUGUAAUGGCAGUUAACCUGUUAUGCACAGAACAAGCUGAAUUCCUCUCUUACCCAAUAAUCCUGUAAACAUUUGAAGAUUGCCAGAACCUGCUCCAUUAAAAUUUCUCUUCUUCAGUAUCUCAACUUCUCCUCUUGGGUUGUAUUUCUCUUCACUUAGGCCAUCUUCCCCUACACAUGCUUCAGGGUUGUGAUAUGCCAUUUAAAACAUGACAGCAGAGCUUUCAUUGUGUCUUAAUGGCUUGGAGUACACUGUUACUGUCCCUGCUCUGAGCCCUGGAUUCUAUCCAAGAUGGCACAAGACCUUCUGGAAGGUUGCAUUGUUAGCUUAUUUUGAACUAGGCUCUCCCUGUUCAAUAGUCUGCCCCACAAAAAUUAAGGUCAUUUCACAUGAACUCCUAUCAGAGAAAGCAUCCCUUAUCCUUAAAUUAAUUAUUGAUAUUUUUUGGACCAAGAUGCAAGACUUUUUCACUUAUCUCUAUUAAAUCUUAACUUAUCUAGAUCAGUUUAUAUCUUGCUUCUAUCAUCUAGUUUUAUCAUUUAUUCUUCCAGUUUUAUGUCACGCAAAAAUUUGAUUAAAAUGCUUUUUUUUUUUUUCUACUUCAUCCAAAUCGUGAGAAGUCUUGGACAGGUCACAGCCCUAUCUCAUGCGUGACUGUAGACCUCAGUGACCUCCACCCAUUCAUCAAUGUGGGGAGUGGUUGUUUAAACAUCUACACAUAUGCCUGAUUACAUUCCCAUGGGCUCCACAUUUUUCCAGCCUAUUCACACUGAAUAGCACCUGAAUUUCAUUUGAAUAUCAUUAAAAAUAUGGCAAAAUUUCUCUGAGAUCAGGAACCCCAUUGAAAAAGGGAAUGGGGUAGAGGCUGAUGUGGUUUAACUUUUUGUGAACCUGGCUCUGGUAAUCACUGCUUAGACUCCUUCUCACCACCCUUUCCACCUUCUCCUUGCCUAGCCUUCCAGACCCAGCUCAGAUAGUGUCUUCUGUAGGAUCUUCUCUGACCAAUCAUCCUAUACUCACAGCCUGGGUUGGGUGUUCUGUUUUUGUAUUUGCAUUGCACCUUGAGCUUACCUCACUCACAGCGUUCACCAUGAUAUGUAUUGUCUUUCCUGCUAUACUGGAAGCUCCUUGAGGAUAGGAACUAUCCUUAGCCUUAUUCCUCUUGGCACCUCUAAAGCCUGACAACAUGGAGCUCAAUAAGUGAUGGCUAAAAUGCCCUAGGCACUUGCCAGCUAUCUGUUUGACAGCAAGCAUAUAUGGCUUAUCUACUUAUGGAGCAAAACUAUGAGGGAAGUUGCAGAGUUGGUGGGCUUGGAAAUGUAUAUUGAGAUACCCAGGCACAAUGCAACUUCAACAGUAAGAGCUCAUGGGAUCAGAGAGGAACCUGAGGCCAAGAAAGAGUGAGUAAGAUCUAGGGACAGGAGCCUGGCUGACCCCAAGGAACCCAGGUUCAAAGGAAGUGGGGAAUUCAGACAGGGUUUGGAAAAGUAGAGGUACCUAGAGAAAGGGUCGAGAAGGAAGGGAUACAGUCCAGUUGGUGGGUCAUGGCAGCGGGACCCCAGGGACCGAGCCAGACCUGCCACGUUGGCAGUUCUAUGGUUUCUAUAAAAGAGGAGUCAUGUGAGGGAACAGACUGGUUGGAAUGAGGGCUGGGACUGUUUUUAAGCAUGGUAACCUCACUGGCUUUAUGUUGAUGGAUGUUUAUUUGGGGUGGUUUUGAGUGGGUUGAUGGAGAUUAAGGUCAUGCUGCUUCCUUCUCACACAGGUGACUUCUUGCUAUUGACCAAAAGACAUCAGUUUCAGAAUUCCAGGUGAAUAGUCAGUGUACUCCAGGGCCAGCUGGUAGUUUGGAUGUGGGAACAGGUCCCUCUUUCUUAGAGAAGGGGCUCACAAGGGCUAAGCUCCCCAUGAAUUGACCCCAACCUUUCCUGCCAGCCCCUUCCCUUUCCAUAACCUCUUUCCUAUCUAAACCCCAGCCACACAAGCCACUUGUAUUUCCUCUAUAGCUCAGGCUUUGCAUACGCACUGCCUUCCCCUUGGCAUGCCCCUCCCCCACACAGUGAACUCCUCUUUAGCCUUGAAGACUCAAGUCAAAGUCAUGACUCUCUGAGAAAUGGUCCCCAGCCAAGCCCCAGCCUGCAUGAUUAGCAGUUUUUCAGUGAGUCCAAAUGACUGUGUUAAUUCCCCUGUUGAAGCACUUAACAUCACAUAGGCAGUGAAGAUGUUCCAUUGUUCCCAGCACCUAGCACAGUUCUCAAAAAAUGUUUGUGGAGUGGGAGGGUAUCAUGAUCCCAGCCAAACAAGCUGAGCUUUAGAAGCAGGUGCUUAGAGUCAUCUCAGGCAGUGAGAGGAAUCCCAGGCCCCUCCAAAGAGUGUGCCUAAGAAUACCAAUGGAGAAUGAGGUUGCAGGUGGCAGGUUUCAGCAGCUAGGCAGGGGUGGAUAGUAUGGGGGGCACUCCAUGGAGCAGUGUCUCAAUCAGAAAUGAAGAUUGUUUCACCUCAAUCAUCAUGGACCCUUCCCUGUUUCUUCCUGCCAGCUAGAAGAAGGGAGAUGCUGACAGCUCAUAUCCAAUACACCCUCCCUGGCCCCCAAUCCCAUCCCUCUCCCACAGCAGCUUUGGCACUUGCACUCACCAUCAGAGAUGUUCCCAGGCCCUGGGGCCCUGCUCUGACAUGCACAGCAACUCUUGGCUUCCCUGGCCCAGACAGCUAAAUAGCUCCCAGCUUCUUGCAGGAGUUGAAAGAGAAAGAGCUGAAAGGCCCAGGAGGCCAGAGACCCUGGUUCAAAUGCUGGGUGCUGCCAAUAACCAGUCAUGUGACCUUGGACAAGCAUCUCUCCCUCUUUGGGCCUGUUUCCUCCACUGUAAAUUGAAGGGAUGGGCUGGCUGAUCUCUCAGGGAGGUGCCCUCUAGGAUGCACAUUCUGUGAGCCCUGCAGUUCUUGGAUUCACACCCACCCCUUGUCUGUCUACUACUCAAAUCAAAAUCUCAAUGUUGACAGGGAAUUUGAGUUCAUCCAGUAAAAUCCCUUCUUCUUAUAGAUGAGGAAACUGAGGCCCAGGGAAGGGAAGGGGUGUGAUCAGGAAGACACUCUGGGGGCAGAUGCAGGGCUAGAGCUAGGGUCUGUGCUCCCUGCCAUGAUCUGACUUUGGCUUUUAAUGACUACUUUGAAUGGAAGAGCCCUUUGUUCCAAAGCUGCCCAAAUACCCAGUGCAGGGUGACAUAGGGCAUGGUUGGUGGCUUUUCAGUCUUCUUCCAGCAAUCAGCUCAGGGCACAGGCCUUUUGAGCCUUUUCAGGGCCAAUCAACCUAGACCAAACCCUGGGCCAAACCCAGGUCCAGAGACCUGAACUGUAGCCUCCUCUGUGUAACUGACUAGCUGUGUGACCCUGGCCAAGUCACGUCACCUCUCUGGCUUUAUCGUUCUAUGGUUAUAUGAACCCUCAUGGACUGUGAGCUCUAAGAAAUAGGGACGUGCCUAUUCUAUUUUAAUCCCAGGGCUUGGCUUUCAAAGUAAAGUUUCUUAGUUCAAAUUUCAGAGAGAAUCUGAAUUGUUCAGCAACCAAAAGUGUCUGUAUUUAAGUUAGACCACAGAAGUGUUAGGUCACUGACUGGCCAGUGAAAGGCCUGCCCUUGGGUCAGGUGCUCACCCUGGUCCAAUCCGUUGUGGCGUGGAGUGCUAUGUCAUGGGUAAAUGCAGUUGCUUUUUCUGGGCACCAUGUGCCUAGAAAGAUUCUACUGGAUCUCUAUUUUAUUGGUGAGGAAACUGGCUCCAAGAGUCACUUAGCCCAGACCACACAGCUGGUAAAUGAUAAUGCUGAGGUUAGAACUACAAAGCCCCAUGUUCUUCCCACCACUCCAGGCCCAACCGCUGUGGACUAGUCAUGUGCGGCAGAGGGAGGUAGACUGAGAGCUCCAGGGGUUCGGUGGAGGCAACGAGCUUUCCAGAUGGAGGGAGGUGUCUGGGAAGUCUUCUUGGAGGAGGUGGCCUUUGAGAUGGGCGUUAGAAAACAGGUGUGGGGGGAUGAAGAACAUUCCAAGUAAAGGGAAUGGUGUGAGCCAAGGCAUUUGGGUGAGGGGAUCAGGGAGAGGAACCUGGGAGGAUUUCUGAGUGAGUGGGACUCUGCUGAGUAUCAGCAUACAUGGUGGGGAGGACCUUGAGACAAGCUGGUGUGCCAAGCCCAGUAAGAAGUUUGGGCUUGACUUGCAAAGUAGUAGGGAGCCACUGAAGGUUGUUGAGCAGGUGAGUGACAUGAUCAGAAACUGUGCUGCCAGAAAACAUAUGGCUGAUUGAUUACAAAUCUGUUUCUCCUGGAAGGCACAGACUGUUCCACCUUCACUGUUAUCUUUGGAUAGAGGUGGGGAGGGAUGGAGCGGAGAUGUGGAGAUACUGGUGGCACCACCACCUUCAGGCGGAGGACCGGAGGGGCGGUGAGAAGAGAGUGGGCAGUGGCCCAGGCUUCACGACUGGAUGUGAGGGGUGAAGGGGGUGGAGAUGCUGGAGACGCCUUUCCUUCCUCCCUUGGCCACCAGCCUCCUCUGGGCUGAGGUCUGGUCUGGUGAGGCAGAGUACAGAGCAUGCCUCUGCUGUCUGCGUGAGUUCCUGAGGAGUGAGAUCUUUAAUUUUUGUCUGCUGAGCCCCGAUGGGCGAGGGGCCAGCCUGUGUUACAACCUCCCGGGGGCCCCUGGGCCAAGGCACUGAGACCAGAGUGGACGGAAACAAGAAGUGAGUCAUGCAGACCGGCUGGGGCCCACGGGAUCUGGCUGCACCUCACCCCUCCCCCACUCCUCAGCCUGGUGUCUGUGCCCUUUCCUGGGGGGUUUUCAGGCCCUGGGCCUGUUCCUAAGGGAUUGGGGACACAGAGAAAGUACUGGGGACACCAGGGCAAACCUCACUGAGUGUCCCCAUGCUUCACAUAUGAUCCAGGCAAAAUGGAGCCAGGAGAUGAUGGCAGAGGGCAUCCUUUUAUUUGCCUUGAUGAUGAAGAGUGGGAGGGAUGUUACUUGCAGCCGGCCUGGGGGAGCCUAUUCUAGGAAGGAACCUAUAGUAGCCCUUCUUCUCUGCCCCCACAUCCCUCAUCCCUCAGGGUAUAUGGAAUGUCACUGUGUCCCAGCAGGAAGCCAAGAUGGGGAAAGGCUGGGAGACCCCAGUGACAGCCAAGGGAAGUCUCUUCCUUGUCCUCAAGUUCAUGCACAGCCAUUCUGGAAUCCUGGAUGGGCCUGCACAGUCCCCCAGCCCACGGGACUUUCUCCCUGGGGAUGUUGAAAGGAUAAUCCAAUAGGUAACCUCUCCCCGUUAGAGCUCACGAAGUCCCUGUGGUCUUACUGGGAGGAAUUAAAGGAGGUCUUCCACCUGCUCGCAUUGUUGUCCUGCUCAGGUCUUCAGAGAGUCUGCUUGAGGAGAAGUUAUGCUUCAGCCCCAGGAGUUCUAGAAGAUCCUCCCUGCAGCCCCCAAUCCCCAGCCAGAGACUGAAGGAUUUAUGCAGGGCUUUCCAGAGAUGAUUUUCCUCCCCAGAUCCAAGAGAUGGGUGAGUAGGCUUAGCAGCAUUCUCAUGAGGGAGGAAGCUGGGAUGGGGCUGGGGCAGUGACACAUAGUGAGUCAGGGCCAUGCCAGAAACAGUUGGCCACCCUUCUUUUACCAGGCACAGACAGUCGAGGGGAGCAGAAAGUUCUGAUAACCCCACAUCUCCAGGGAAUCAAAUUGUGGACUAGCAGGCAGGGAAGAGGGCAUUUGGGAACAUGCACCGGCGGUACUUUGGGGGUGACAGUGGUGUAGGUGGGUGGUCGUCCACUUCAAUUGUGAGGAGGGCUACUGGCUCACAAGUCCAGGGUUGAGGCAAGAUGGCACAGCCUUAAAAGCUUGGGCUCACGUGGAAAAUGACCCUGGUUUGAGUUCUACAUCUGCUACUGAUCAGCUAUGUCACUUUGGGCAAGCAGUAGCCAUUCCCAACCUCAGUUUCCUCCUUUGUCUAUGUGGAAAUCAUAAUGCCUGCUUGGGAUGGUUAAAUGAGCCAAUUUAUGUUGCAUGCUUAGCAUGGUGCUUGGACUAUAGUAGGCUCUAUAAAUUUUGGCAGCUUAAUAAAAACAAACAAAACUCAAGUAUUUAUGGGAUUGGAGAUCCUGAAGAGCUGCAUCAACAGGUUCCAACAGUGAGAGGGAAAGGGAGGGAUGAGUAGGAGGCAGGACAGGAGGAUGGCGCCAGGCUGGGAAUAGGAGAUGCCAGUCUUUGGAGUAGAUGAGCUGGGCCAUGGGGCCCCAGGAGAACGGGGUGGGAAUGUCCAAAGACCACUUGUACUCACCAAGGAGUGGGAGGGGCCCCUGGUGGUGAGGGAAGCGUGUCUGCGUGAGGGUUUUGGCCGAGGCAAAGGGUGAGGGAUGAAUGGGCGGCAGACUUCCAGAAAUGCAGACGGAGGAGACGGAGCAGUAAUAAUGACUUGGACACACAGGAGGAAAAAAUAGCUCAGGGACAAAGGGGACGCCAAGGUUUCUGGCCUUGGGAGGCCUAUGGGGAUCUGAGGUGAGCCUUGAGGGAUCAGAGCAGAGCUCCUGCAGUAACUGGGCAGGUUGCAUGGAGAGGAAGGGAGGCCAGAAUUACAGAGUUGGGCAGAUAUCUGGGCAGGGAAAGGUAAGCGUGAAGUUGGGGCUUCCACAGCUGUGCAGGAACAAUGUUACAGGGAGAGCACUGAGCACUCUGGGAAUUAAGGAGGCUUUCAUCCCCACAAGCAAGGGGUAGAUCCUGGAAAUCUUUAGGGCCAGCCCUAAAGGCAACAAGCACAUGAACUUGGACUAAUAGCUACCACCCAGAACUCAGUUUUUCUCUCUUAAAAUGGUCUGGUGAUAUCAGCCCUCCCUUCUUGAUGAGGUUUUUCUGUCAUUUAUUCAUUUCACACAUAUUUCUUGGCUGUCUGUAAGCAAGUACUGUAAGCAAGCACAGUCAAGCACUGUUCUAGGUUUGGGGGGAGCAGUGCUAAGCAAGGCAAACAAGAUAUUUAUUCCUUUAGAGCUAUCAUUGUGGCUUGGCAAGUCAGACAAUAAAUGAUGUUACAGGUUGUUGAACAAGACUUUUUCUGUGCUCUUAGAAUGUCUGCAGAAGCCACAAAGCUAGAACAAUAAGGGCUAAAUAUUCUCACAUUCUAAAGAGAAGCACUGGCACCCUACUAAAGGCAGAACAGGUUCAUCAACAAUCAAACCACAUAUCUCAUUUCCAGUCCACAAAUGAAAGGGAGUGAAGAAAGUCACUGAGGUAGAGAGGUACAGAACUGUUGCAUUAGCAGGCAGGGCUGAGAUUUCUCCUAAGGGUACCCCCUGCAUUGCAAACCAAGUGAAGAGAGCUCUGAGAGAACCAGUCAUCUGCAAGAAGAGGAAACUGGGUCCCCAAAGCCAUCUCUGCACUGAUACUGUCUAAGUUGCUAGACGUUGCAGGCACCCCAAUGCACCAAAGUACAGCAAGAACAUUCUUGGGAGAACAUUCCAACAUAUGUUUUUAGGAAUUGAAUAUGUACGUAAAUGAAGAGACUUGUGUGCACUUGCUAUCUGGAGAAUUCUGACUGUGGAGGCUGGCGGAGUGGACUGCAUGGCAGGGUGAGCAAGGGACAGGGUGAGAAGUAGUUGUGGCAGGGUGAGGAGGGGGCAGGGUGAGAAGUAGCCAUCCUACCAGUGCUUUGCCUGUGCCUGAGGGGGACACAAACAUCCCCGGGGAGCCAGGGCCUGCAGGGGCCUGCAAGAGGCUGGCCAGAGAGUGCUUUGCUAUGGCAGUGCAGGUGGAGGUCCUGCAGAGAGCCCCCCCCAAGAACUCACAAAUGUUCCCAUGAAAAGAGCUAGUGCUUGGCACCUGCCAACCUAGGGCACCUGUCACAUAAGACUUCACUACUUUUCCUCUAACACCUCUCCCCCAACCUUGACACAGAAGAGCCAAAGCAGUAAAGGAAGGUCAGAAAAAGAGACCAUGCCCCACUUCCAGCACUAUAGGAUCUCCAACUAAGAGACAGGCCUGUGGGGGAGAGGAGUAUUAAAUUGGAUGAGGUUUUCAUUUCAACAGGAACAGAUUUUCUGAAAAUUGCCUGAAAAUUGGUCUUAAUUAUAUAAAUAAAGCUGUUCCAUGUCCAGUUGGGAUGAGCAAGCCAAGGAUUCUGCCUGAGAUGUCAUCAGGGUGGGGAAGGGAAAUUCACCAUAAUGCGGUUGAAGGCAGUAGUGGAGUAGUUUCCGGAUUAUCCCUCUUCAGGUUCAGCCCAUUAAACAAGUUACACAAGUAAAAAAUAAAUAAUGAGAUAAUUUCAGCUGGUCAUUAGAGCAAUGAAGAUAAAACAGGGUGAUGUUGAUGUGUUAGAGAGUGUGCCCUUUUGCUCUAGAUGGGGAGUUGGGGAAGGCCGCCCCAGGAGGUGAUAUUUCAGGUGAGGGUCCUAAUUCCAGAGGCUGCAUGUCUGUGACUCUGUGAAAAAGAGGUCACCUCUUCCAGCAGCCGCCAUCAUCGCCCCAGGCCCAGGCUGGUCCCUGACGCCAUAGGAAGGGGAUUAAGAUCAAG